ACAGAUGGGUUUUUGGUGUGGAUGUCCUUUCUGUUUGUUAGUUUUCCUUCUAACAGACAGGACCCUCAGCUGCAGGUCUGUUGGAAUACCCUGCCAUGUGAGAUGUCAGUGUGCCCCUGCUGGGGGGUGCCUCCCAGUUAGGCUGCUCGGGGGUCAGGGGUCAGGGACUCACUUGAGGAGGCAGUCUGCCCGUUCUCAGAUCUCCAGCUGCGUGCUGGGAGAACCACUGCUCUCUUCAAAGCUGUCAGACAGGGACAUUUAAGUCUGCAGAGGUUACUGCUGUCUUUUCGUUUGUCUGUGCCCUGCCCCCAGAGGUGGAGUCUACAGAGGCGGGCAGGCCUCCUUGAGCUGUGGUGGGCUCCACCCAGUUGGAGCUUCCCAGCUGCUUUGUUUACCUAAGCAAGCCUGGGCAAUGGCGGGCGCCCCUCCCCCAGCCUCGCUGCCGCCUUGCAGUUUGAUCUCAGACUGCUGUGCUAGCAAUCAGCGAGACUCCGUGGGCGUAGGACCCUCCGAGCCAGUGAGAUGAACCCGGUACCUCAGAUGGAAAUGCAGAAAUCACCCGUCUUCUGCGUCGCUCACGCUGGGAGCUGUAGACCGGAGCUGUUCCUGUUCGGCCAUCUUGGCUCCUCCCUCAGGAUGAAAUUAUGAAUUUUUAAAAUCUAAAAAAUAAGAGAAGGAAGAAGGAAUUGACUUCCAAUGUUUUGCUAAAAAGAUUAUUCAUGAUGAUCCAAGAGCACAUCCACCCCUCACAAUCACCAUCACCACCUAGUCGGGUCCUCUAUUCCUCCAACUAGGGCCAAGCAUGGAAAUGGCCAGGGCUGGAGUAUCCUUCAGAAAGCCUGGGCAAUAAACCGAAGGCUCCUAAAAAGAGCAAAGUGUCUGGUGAGUCAAGCAGAAUCUCAAAGCUGAACUAAAUUUGGUGAAUCUGGACUUUGCCAGCCCUGAAGAAGAAUAAGCAUGAAGGAACUCUUCAAGUAGCUAGUGCAUUUGUGUUGCUGUCAGCAAAAUAGCCAGUUGGAGAGCUAUGCUGUUCUCCACUAAAAGAAUUGUAGAACCAUUGGGCUUUAAUAGAUUUGAAAGACUGUAUAAUUGAAUUUAUAAUCAUCUGGCUUAGAAAAUAUGCAAAAUCACAUUCAUAGUGAGCAGAUGAGUUAUGGUAUCCGUGGACAAUUCUGAUAGGAAAUAUUGGUUAUAUCUGGUGAAACCCAUGAUAAACCAAAGGCACGUUAAGGGCAGAUGGUUGGAGUUGGGGUAUGAGUGUUGGUCAUACGGUGGAGGGGAAAAGAGUAGGAUGUUAGGAUCAUGCAGAAAUUAUGUGGUUGCCCUACAGAAAUGAUAAGCCAUAAAGUUCUACUCUGGCCAGUGUUUUAAGUCGAUGCUAGAAAAGAAAAACAAUAGUGGCACAGGGGUUGGUUAUUUGUUUUCCACAGGCCAAGAAUAUGUCAAAAUAAAGCCCAAUAGGAUGUAUAUUCAGUGGUCAAGUAGACUGAGAGAUGUUAACACACUUAUUCAUGGCAUCAUUUCAGAUUUUGCCUAUAGUAGGCAUUCAAAAGAUGUUUGUUAAAUUUUAUAAAUAAACAAAAGCUAUAUCAGCAUGGCCUUUUUCUAAUCCAAAACCUGGGCACACAGCCAGGAUAAACUUAAGCUGUCCAAAAGCCAUGUGCGCUCUCGCCAGAAUCAUCAAUUCUCUCCAGUCAUUUCACUAUGAAGAAGGCCUGGAUGAACUUAAUGGGAAAGUCCCAUUAGCUGCCACUCUUGGAUUGCAUAUCUACGUAUCCUUCAGAUUUCAUGUCCCUGAUAUAUUUGUGUUCUUGCUAGUCCUGAUUUUAAAUUAUUGCUUUUCCUUUUAAUAUUGUUCUGAUUUAUUUUUAUAUGUUACUCAAUAUUCUUUAAUGACAGCAAAUAAUGAUAAAAAUAAUAGCUGCCAUGGCCUAUUGAGGCUUCCUAUGACAGAAACUCUUCUAAGAUAAAAUUUCAUCCUCAUGACAACUCAUAACCUUUGAGAAAGUUUCCAUAGAUUUCUAUUUUACUACUAAAAAUACUGUGGUUUAGUGAGAUUAUGCAAUUAACUCAAAUUCACAAAGAUAGGAAAUGCUUCAGCUGGGAUGCAAACCUCUAUCUAAGAGAAAAACCCGAUUUCCUCAUUGCUAUAUAUACCAUUAAUUUGGAGCAAAGCAGAAUCACUUAAAAAUCCUUUUAAGUGAUGAUUAAAUAAAUCAUCAAUUGUUAAACAAUGAUUAGAUUCCUAAUUAUUUUCAGUCAUUUGUUUACCACUAAAUAUAACAAUAGUAGUAAUAAUAAUAAUGAUAACCCAUCUGCCUGUGUUCUUAAGUGUCUUAUAUAUUAGUUGUGGAAAUAAGACAUAUAUGAUGAACUGUUAAAAACUAUAGAAGAGAAUUUAUACCUAAAUAUGUUCAUGUAUUAAGUAGUACAAGAAAGUCAUCUGGAAAUUUUAAAAUGAAAGGAAAUCUGCAAAUAUUAAGUCAACUGGGCAUUUCUUUUCAGGAAAUGAAAAUUAAGCUGAAUCUGAAGGGUGCUAAGAACAAAAUUGAUGGAGGUGAAGACAGAGACUUCUACAUAAAGGAAAUAGUUAGAAAUUAAGCACAGAGACAAAAAUAAAAGACAGUGUUUUGUAGGGGCAGAGUGAUUGGGCAUAGCCAAGAAACAGGAUAUAUUAAGUAGAUUGAUAAUAAGGUUUAAAUGCUUCAAAAGUUCUAAGCUUAGAUGCUUGGAAACAAAAUUUGACCAAGAAUUUGGGUAAUAAAUUUGAAGAAUAAAAUGAGAAGCUUAAUUUGCAUGUGUUCAGUUUAAAAUGAUAUCCGGUUGGAAAUACCAAAUUGUAGAGCUGGAGACAUUGUACUGGGAAUUGAGUAAUGGUCAGGAUUUAUUACACUGGGACAGAAGAGACCAACACAUAGAAUACACUGAAGGUCAGGUUCUGUCCAGAAACCACUCAACACCAGAGCAUUAAUGAAUAUGUGAAUAAGUAAGUGCAUCUUCUUAGCUCAGGCAUGGAAACUGAUUUAAAAUGUAAGAAGUCUGUAUGGAUGGGAGAAAGAAGUGGAAAUCAAUUUAAGGGAAAAAAAGCAAAAUCAGAAUAUACAAUCUCUCUUCUGAGGCCCUAGUCAUAUGUUGCUAACUAUAGAGGAGUCAUUAGAUAAAAGUGUGUACAUUUGGAAGCAAACAAAGACUGCAUCCCAUGAGAUUUCAGAAGCUAUGAUUAUUAUAAAGAGCAAUAGACUCUCAAAAAUACUCUUAAAAUACUAUACAUAAAAAUAGCUAGUAUUUAAAGGCUCAUAAAAUUCUUGAACAGGUAUUAGCCAUUUAAGAAGUGAUGGUAGAAAGAGAAAUGUAUAGGUCAGA
rnacentral:lncRNA from 1 species